AAAGAGGCAGACGUCAUGUGCACAGAGCACUUGCAAAUCUGGUGCCACGCUAGCUAAAUUAGCUGAAUCAGCACAUUAUCGUGGAAGGCGGGGUACUUUCUCGCCCUUCUGUGGGACAUUGAUCCCGGAACGCUGCUGAAAGUCUGGCUGCUGCUGAAAGGAUCACCUCUAUCUAAUUACUAUCUUAGGAGCUCAGUUUCUCCAGAGGAGGAAAUGUGUGCCACUUUCCCACCUCAAAGCUGCUGCCGCAAAGCAGUGUGGAAGCACACACACUGGAUCUGGGUGGGACAUUGUUGCUGAAGGAUCUCAGUUUCUGAGUCUUGCUUGGUCCUUGGCUCACCAAGCCCAUCUCUGGUUCACGGUAAAGGCUUGGGGAUUUGCCAUCAUCUUUAGACACAGAUGACCUUUUCAUUUUCUCCUGAGACAGAGUCCCAUAUAGUACAGGUUAGCAUCAAAGUUGCUCUGCAGACGAGGGUGACCUUUGCACUUUGAUUCUUCUGCUUUUGUGCACUACAGGGGUGCACCACCACACGAAGGAGAUCGAACACAGGGACUCAUAUAUGUCAAGUUAAUCAAGCCAGAUACGAGAAGCAACUUAAGGGAAGAGGAAUGGCCUUUGGCUCAUGGUUUGAGGGGAUACAGUUAACCAUGGCUCGUGGUGACUGGAGUAAGUUGUGUCUAUUUGUUAUAUUUUAGUGGACCAGGAAACAAAGCUUUAGUGGGAAGUGGAGCUGGGUGACAAUAAACGUCAAUCUGUAAAAAUUAAAAUAAUUUACAGAGAAUACAUGUUGUGAACAUGGGAUCAUGCCGCAUGUAACUGGCUUCCUGCACUCAGUGCAAGGGUUUCAAGGUUCAUGUCAUUACCCCUGGCAUCUGUAGCUUGCUGCCUUUGCUACACAGUGCAUCUGAGCAUGUAGUGCACACGUUGCUAAGCCGGCCAUCCCUGACAUCUGAGGAGAUUCCAGCUUCUGGAAAUUAUGAACACGGUUGCUACGUGUCAGGUAACUCAUCACAAAAGUAGAGCACAAUGUUUUCACAGUGAAGAAGUGAUCAAGCUUCGUCUCACUAAUAAUGGGAUAAACCAACAUCCUGAGCCCUCCAGCUGGGUUGUGCUAAGAAAGACACAAUGUUACUCCUGUACUGUUCUUGCUCAAAUGCAUAACCUGUCAAAAAGCAUGAGGAAAUGAUCAGACAAACCCAAGACAGGAGCAUUCUAUUAACCAAGUGACCGCUUCUCUAUAAAUAAGAAAAUGCCAUGGAAGACAAACACAGAAGAGGGAACUGUUCUGGACUGAAAACAAACAAGUCAAAAUAAUAAUAAUAAAGAAAAGGCCUUAAAGCCAUGUGGCAUAAGAGGCACUCAAAGGCAGUGUGAACGAACUUACAUGGAAUAGACUCUGUUCCCCAGGGCAGAAAGAAGGAAAUGCUCUUUGGAAAGCAGUCUUGUAUCAGUGCUAAUCUUCUGGAUUUCAAGAAAUGUGGUUGUGUAAGAGAAUAUAAGAUAACAUGUUUUUUUAUUUUUAGAAAGUUAGUGCUUCGGCAUUUAGAGAGAUCUGUAAACUAUUUUCAAGAAUGGAAAAGAAAGGAAGGGAGAUUAGAAAGAUUAAAAAAGAAAUGGUCAAGUUCCAUGUAGAAGGAGCAGUUCAUUCUUGCAACUCCCAAAGCAAAACAGAAGGGGAAAAAACAAAACAAAACAAAACAAAAAAAAAACAAUGUUCUCUGGAGACGAUUGCAGUUGUGGACAUUUUAAGAUUUAUUUAAACAUUUAAAAGAUAACAUUGAUGAUUGUUACCGACAAACGUUUUCCAAAGCAUUCUUUAAAUUACACAACCAUUGGGAAAACACCAGAAACUCAGUUUUAGAGAGCUGUACAGAUGGGUGCUGAUUAAAACAUGUGAGUCUACAAGUAAA